rnacentral:rRNA from 1 species
GAUGAACGCUGGCGGCGUGCCUAAUACAUGCAAGUCGAGCGAACGGACGAGAAGCUUGCUUUUCUGAUGUUAGCGGCGGACGGGUGAGUAACACGUGGAAAACCUACCUAUAAGACUGGGAUAACUUCGGGAAACCGGAGCUAAUACCGGAUAAUAUUUUGAACCGCAUGGUUCAAAAGUGAAAGACGGUCUUGCUGUCACUUAUAGAUGGAUCCGCGCUGCAUUAGCUAGUUGGUAAGGUAACGGCUUACCAAGGCAACGAUGCAUAGCCGACCUGAGAGGGUGAUCGGCCACACUGGAACUGAGACACGGUCCAGACUCCUACGGGAGGCAGCAGUAGGGAAUCUUCCGCAAUGGGCGAAAGCCUGACGGAGCAACGCCGCGUGAGUGAUGAAGGUCUUCGGAUCGUAAAACUCUGUUAUUAGGGAAGAACAUAUGUGUAAGUAACUGUGCACAUCUUGACGGUACCUAAUCAGAAAGCCACGGCUAACUACGUG